rnacentral:rRNA from 1 species
UGAGGAAUAUUGGUCAAUGGGCGAGAGCCUGAACCAGCCAAGUAGCGUGCAGGACGACGGCCCUAUGGGUUGUAAACUGCUUUUAUGUGGGGAUAAAGUGCGUGACGUGUCAUGCAUUGCAGGUACCACAUGAAUAAGGACCGGCUAAUUCCGUGCCAGCAGCCGCGGUAAUACGGAAGGUCCGGGCGUUAUCCGGAUUUAUUGGGUUUAAAGGGAGCGUAGGCUGUCUAUUAAGCGUGUUGUGAAAUAUACCGGCUCAACCGGUGGCUUGCAGCGCGAACUGGUCGACUUGAGUAUGCAGGAAGUAGGCGGAAUUCAUGGUGUAGCGAUGAAAUGCUUAGAUAUCAUGACGAACUCCGAUUGCGCAGGCAGCUUACUGUAGCAUAACUGACGCUGAUGCUCGAAAGUGCGGGUAUCAAACAGG